UAUUUCUUUACUGGAUAUGUGAGUGUGUGUGUGUGUGAAUAUAUAUAUAUAUACACAUACAUACAUACAUACACACACAUACACAUACAC
rnacentral:miRNA from 1 species